UACGGAGGGUGCGAGCGUUGUCCGGAUUUAUUGGGUUUAAAGGGUGCGUAGGUGGCUGAUUUAAGUCAGUGGUGAAAUACAGCCGCUCAACGGUUGAGGUGCCAUUGAUACUGAUCAGCUUGAAAGGAAUUGGAGGCUGCCGGAAUGGAUGGUGUAGCGGUGAAAUGGCAUAGAUAUCACCCGAACACCGAUGCGAAGGCAGGUGCUACGAUUAUUGACACUGAGGCACGAAGCAUGGGGAGCAAACAGG
rnacentral:rRNA from 1 species